UACGGGAGGCAGCAGUGGGGAAUAUUGCACAAUGGGCGCAAGCCUGAUGCAGCCAUGCCGCGUGUAUGAAGAAGGCCUUCGGGUUGUAAAGUACUUUCAGUCGUGAGGAAGGUGUUAAGGUUAAUAACCUUAGCAAUUGACGUUAGCGACAGAAGAAGCACCGGCUAACUCCGUGCCAGCAGCCGCGGUAAUACGGAGGGUGCGAGCGUUAAUCGGAAUUACUGGGCGUAAAGGGCACGCAGGCGGUUAAUUAAGUUGGAUGUGAAAUCCCCGGGCUUAACCUGGGAAUGGCAUUCAAGACUGGUUAGCUAGAGUCUUGUAGAGGGGGUAGAAUUCCAUGUGUAGCGGUGAAAUGCGUAGAGAUGUGGAGGAAUACCGGUGGCGAAGGCGGCCCCUGGGACAAAGGACUGGACGCUCAUGUGCGAAAGCGUGGGGAGCGAAAC
rnacentral:rRNA from 1 species